GACGAACGCUGGCGGCGUGCUUAACACAUGCAAGUCGAACGGUAAGGCUCCAGCUUGCUGGGGUACACGAGUGGCGAACGGGUGAGUAACACGUGGGUGACCUGCCCUGCACUUCGGGAUAAGCCUGGGAAACUGGGUCUAAUACCGGAUAGGACCGCACCGUGAGGGUGUGGUGGAAAGUUUUUUCGGUGUGGGAUGGGCCCGCGGCCUAUCAGCUUGUUGGUGGGGUAAUGGCCUACCAAGGCGGCGACGGGUAGCCGGCCUGAGAGGGUGGACGGCCACAUUGGGACUGAGACACGGCCCAGACUCCUACGGGAGGCAGCAGUGGGGAAUAUUGCACAAUGGGCGGAAGCCUGAUGCAGCGAUGCCGCGUGGGGGAUGACGGCCUUCGGGUUGUAAACUCCUUUCACCAUCGACGAAGGGUUUCUGACGGUAGAUGGAGAAGAAGCACCGGCUAACUACGUGCCAGCAGCCGCGGUAAUACGUAGGGUGCGAGCGUUGUCCGGAAUUACUGGGCGUAAAGAGCUCGUAGGUGGUUUGUCGCGUCGUCUGUGAAAUUCCGGGGCUUAACUCCGGGCGUGCAGGCGAUACGGGCAUAACUUGAGUACUGUAGGGGAGACUGGAAUUCCUGGUGUAGCGGUGAAAUGCGCAGAUAUCAGGAGGAACACCGGUGGCGAAGGCGGGUCUCUGGGCAGUAACUGACGCUGAGGAGCGAAAGCAUGGGGAGCGAACAGGAUUAGAUACCCUGGUAGUCCAUGCCGUAAACGGUGGGCGCUAGGUGUGGGUUUCCUUCCACGGGAUCCGUGCCGUAGCUAACGCAUUAAGCGCCCCGCCUGGGGAGUACGGCCGCAAGGCUAAAACUCAAAGGAAUUGACGGGGGCCCGCACAAGCGGCGGAGCAUGUGGAUUAAUUCGAUGCAACGCGAAGAACCUUACCUGGGCUUGACAUAUACAGGAUCGCGCCAGAGAUGGUGUUUCCCUUGUGGCUUGUAUACAGGUGGUGCAUGGUUGUCGUCAGCUCGUGUCGUGAGAUGUUGGGUUAAGUCCCGCAACGAGCGCAACCCUUGUCUUAUGUUGCCAGCACGUUGUGGUGGGGACUCGUAAGAAACUGCCGGGGUUAACUCGGAGGAAGGUGGGGAUGACGUCAAAUCAUCAUGCCCCUUAUGUCCAGGGCUUCACACAUGCUACAAUGGUCGGUACAGUGGGUUGCCAGUCCGUGAGGGCGAGCUAAUCCCGCAAAGCCGGUCUCAGUUCGGAUCGGGGUCUGCAACUCGACCCCGUGAAGUCGGAGUCGCUAGUAAUCGCAGAUCAGCAACGCUGCGGUGAAUACGUUCCCGGGCCU
rnacentral:rRNA from 1 species